rnacentral:misc_RNA from 1 species
GGCAACAAAAGACAGACUCCUAAUCGCUGCAUAAAACUCGCAGUCGCAGCCCUAGCAACUCCGCGUCACGCAAAUCACGCGUACAAAACGACGCCUUCUUAUUCGCUUAACAAAACAAAGCCAAAGCCAAAGCCAAAGCCGAAGCUAGUCGUCACUGUCUUCAUUUGUGCGCGGAGCUGGAGAUUAAACCCCGAUGGCGUUGAACAACGGUCUCAGAUCCGCCUCCAAGUUAUUAUCCGUUUCUGAGUCGUUUCUUUCUAAGUCAGUGAACAGAGGCAUGCACUCAACAGGAGUGAAGAGGAUGGGAGGUCAUGCCCAUGG